ensembl:lincRNA A630023P12Rik RIKEN cDNA A630023P12 gene
CAAGGCUCCAUAUGGGUUCUACCACUCUCUGGGGUUUCUACUUUCUGGGGGUACAGAAAAUAGAAACAUGACUCAGAGUUCCUGCCUCAUGGAGUCUGGGAGCUUUCCUCCUCAUGGAUCUGGGAGCUUCCAGGAACACAUCAAGGAAGAAGGAGAGCUCACUACUAUACAACACAGGUGUCACGUCUCAACACCCACCCAGCUUACCUGCAGAUCCCAGAAGAGCCAAGAGGUUCCGAGGGCACCCUUAAUGAGACAAGGCAUCUGAUGACACCUUCCAUUACACCAGGCACCAGUACAGAAAGCAAGCUGUUCUGCGGCACCAGAACAUAUGAAAAGGAAGCGCAGUUUUCCACACACAGUCGCUUCCCGUCUCAGACCCCAUGACUGCAGAGUUCCAGAAAGUAAACACUGUAGAUCCAAGCAGAGUGCCAGAUGGUGGGCUGAAGUAGAACCAGCUCACAGAGACUGGAACACACAGGGCUGGGAGCUCCU